rnacentral:lncRNA from 1 species
CUGAGAAACUAAGACAUGACACUAAUAUUCUUAAGAGCACUCUACAGCAAAAGCCAGACUCAAUGAAACCUCUGAGAAAAUGCAGAAGAGUGCUGAGGACCUCUAAAGAGGACCCCAAAGAAGUGUUGAUGGAUACCAGUGACCUUGCAGCAUUACAAAGCAAAAGCAACCUUUACCUGUCCCCCCCCAGGAAGUCUGCAAGAGAUGGAAGGAUUUUGAAAACCAGGACUUUGUGCUCUGUAACCCCAAAGCAGGAAGCAACAGGUGAGAAGCCUGUACAUAAGAAACAAAGGGCAGCUUCUACCAAGAGGCAGGUGUCACCUGAGCCGGUGAAGGUGAAACACCUGAGAAGUGUGUCACAUAAACGUGAAUCUGUGGAGGAGCACAUUAGCACCAUUAUGCAAAUAGAAGAAAUGGAAGCCAAAAGAGAGAACCCUGUCACUCCAGAUCAGGUGAUGUGGGGAAUAUAGUGGGUGCUUGUCGGGAAGGGUGUGUUUGCUGAGGGUAUUUGUGUAUAUUGCUAGGAGUUUGUGCACAUAUAACUAUUCAUCUCCUUAAGUUUUAUUUUUCACCAUUAAUAGGCUGUAGCCAGUGAUCCUUAGGGAUCUGUGCAAGGAAUAGACUAACUCCUAAAUGUUUUCCUCUCUAAACUAAAUGUAUCUUUGGUUUGAAGAAUGUGUCAGGGAACAGGUGGUCAGUGUAGCUCUGUGUAUGUGACAGUAUUAAGGACAUAGGUUAUAU